GACGAACGCUGGCGGCGUGCUUAACACAUGCAAGUCGAACGGAAAGGCCUGCUUUCCCUUGUGGAUUGCGGGUACUCGAGUGGCGAACGGGUGAGUAACACGUGAGUGAUCUGCCCCCAACUUGGGUAUAAGCCUGGGAAACUGGGUCUAAUUCCCGAUAGGACUGCAGGGUGGUGCCUGUGGUGGAAAACGAUUUUCUAGUGGUUGGGGAUGAGCUCGCGGCCUAUCAGCUUGUUGGUGGGGUAAUGGCCUACCAAGGCGGCGACGGGUAGCCGGCCUGGGAGGGUGGACGGCCACAUUGGGACUGAGAUACGGCCCAGACUCCUACGGGAGGCAGCAGUGGGGAAUAUUGCACAAUGGGCGGAAGCCUGAUGCAGCGACGCCGCGUGGGGGAUGACGGCCUUCGGGUUGUAAACUCCUUUCGACCGCGAGGAAGCCACCUGGUUGGAAGGGUGGUGACGGUAGUGGUAGAAGAAGCAGCGGCUAACUACGUG
rnacentral:rRNA from 1 species